rnacentral:rRNA from 1 species
AUUUAGGUUGUUUGCAAGUUAAAAGCUCGUAGUUGGAUUUCGGGUGGGUCUUAGCGGUCCGCCUCUGGUGUGUACUGCUAGGGCCUAUCUUUCUGCCGGGGACGGGCUCCUGGGUUUAAUCGCCUGGGACUCGGAGUCGGCGAGGUUACUUUGAGUAAAUUAGAGUGUUCAAAGCAAGCCUACGCUCUGAAUACAUUAGCAUGGAAUAACACGAUAGGACUCUGGCCUAUCUUGUUGGUCUGUAGGACCGGAGUAAUGAUUAAGAGGGACAGUCGGGGGCAUUCGUAUUUCAUUGUCAGAGGUGAAAUUCUUGGAUUUAUGAAAGACGAACUUCUGCGAAAGCAUUUGCCAAGGAUGUUUUCAUUAAUCAAGAACGAAAGUUGGGGGCUCGAAGA